rnacentral:misc_RNA from 1 species
CCUCGAAAACCGAUCCCCCAGCUAUCGAAAGCUGAUGACGCAGAUGAGAAACUGCUAGGACACCUGCUUAUUGCCGCUCGCAAAGUCGCCGCGCAAGCAGGUCUAGACAAGAGCGGUUUCAGGCUAGUCAUCAAUGACGGCAAAGACGGGGCGCAAAGCGUGUAUCAUUUGCACAUUCAUGUGAUCGGAGGUCGCCAGCUGAAAUGGCCCCCUGGAUAAUUUGUUGAUACUGAAUUAAUAUAAUGAUAGUUAUUUAAAUUUCA